UGGAAAGGAUGGAUUAGCGAGGCGAACUGCGAAGAUCGAUCCGGAGGAAGUAGGAACUAUCGGCGCUCUGCGUGUGUCAGCUACCUGGACCGAGCACGACAAAGUCCCGACCAACCGUUUUAAGAUAGCCCGCGUUCACACUCCCUACUCUUCUGUCAUUCGUGAAAACGUAUCUCGAACAGUGACGUCAUGGUCAUGUGAUCACUUUUACCUGUGUGGUGACACUCUGCGGUUGGUUCCAGUGGCUGGACGGACGGACAGUGAGACGACGGAGUACGAAGUGUCAGCGAGGCUUGGAGAGCAAAAGGUGAAGGCUGGCUAGCACAUGAUAGACUUAAAGAUCUAGCGAUGUCAUUCGACAACAAGGCUUGCAAUCGGGACAAACUGACAAUUUGACCAUCCCGAUACUAUUACGGCAACAUUUAUCCAGGGAAGAGUUCCACCAGCCCGAGAUAGCCCGGAUGUGUUUCCCUGCCACAGUCAACAUCAUCAAUAUUUCAGCGGACAAAGCGUCAGAUUGCAUGUCACUGAUAUGGGGAGAGACUCAUAAAGUAUCUCGUCAUUUAUUUUCUCUAAACGUCAGAAGAAAUAAUAUCUAAGUACCGU